AGCGGGGUAGAGUAAUUGGUCAACUCAUCAGGCUCAUGACCUGAACAUUGCAGGUUCGAAUCCUGUCCCCGCCU
rnacentral:tRNA from 1 species